UCCGGGGUAGUUCAGCGGUCAGAACGCUUGGCUCCAACCGAGACGGCGCUGGUUCGAAUCCAGCCCCCGGACCCA
rnacentral:tRNA from 1 species